rnacentral:rRNA from 1 species
CAUGCAAGUCGAAUGAAUGCCAGUUGGGCAACUGACUGGAGGAAAUGGCGAAAGGGGCAGUAAUGUAUGGUCAAUCUCCCUUGGGGAUGGGGAUAGCCGUUCUAACGGACGGGUAAUACCCAGCGAUUCGAUAUGAGGACAUCCUUAUAUCGGGAAAUGAAUUUCGCCUCGAGAAGAGACCAUAUCGUAUUACCUAGUUGGUGAGGUAACGGCUCACCAAGGGGAAGAUGCGUAGCGGGUGUGAGAGCACGACCCGCGCCACUGGCACUGAGACACUGGCCAGACACCUACGGGUGGCUGCAGUCGAGGAUCUUCGUCAAUGGGCGAAAGCCUGAACGAGCGAUGCCGCGUGCGAGAUGAAGGCCUUCGGGUUGUAAAUCGCAAAAGAUAGAAGAAAGGCGUAAGUCGGAUUGACUAUCAGUAAGCUCGGGCUAAGUUCGUGCCAGCAGCCGCGGUAAGACGAACCGAGCGAACGUUGUUCGGAAUCACUGGGCUUAAAGGGCGCGUAGGCGGGUGAUCAAGUCCGUGGUGAAAUCCUCCAGCUCAACUGGAGAACUGCCUCGGAUACUGGUUGCCUCGAGGAAGGUAGGGGUGUGUGAAACGUUCAGUGGAGCGGUGAAAUGCAUUGAUAUUGAACGGAACUCCGGUGGCGAAGGCGACACACUGGACCUUUUCUGACGCUGAGGCGCGAAAGCUAGGGGAGCAAACGGGAUUAGAUACCCCGGUAGUCCUAGCCCUAAACGUUGGGUACUAGCUAGUAGUGUUCACAUGACUUUACUGGCGAAGCAAAAGUGCUAAGUACCCCGCCUGGGGAGUAUGGUCGCAAGGCUGAAACUCAAAGAAAUUGACGGGGGCUCACACAAGCGGUGGAGCAUGUGGCUUAAUUCGAGGCUACGCGAAGAACCUUAUCCUAGACUUGACAUGUGCGAAAGCGUCUGGGGGUAGUUGCCGGAAACGGUGGACGAACGUAUCCAAUCGUGAACCAGAUACAGGUGCUGCAUGGCUGUCGUCAGCUCGUGUCGUGAGAUGUCGGGUUAAGUCCCUUAACGAGCGAAACCCUUAUCCUUAGUUACUACUCCUAACGGAGAGGACUCUAGGGAGACUGCCGGUGUCAAACCGGAGGAAGGUGGGGAUGACGUCAAGUCCUCAUGGCCUUUACGUCUAGGGCUGCACACGUGCUACAAUGGCGUACACAAAGGGAAGCCAAGUCGCGAGACGGAGCAAAUCCCAAAAAAUACGCCCCAGUUCAGAUCGAAGGCUGCAACUCGCCUUCGUGAAGUUGGAAUCGCUAGUAAUCGCAGGUCAGCAACACUGCGGUGAAUGUGUUCCUGAGCCUUGUACACACCGCCCGUCAAGCCACGAAAGAGGGGAGUGCCCGAAGCCGCGAAAGCGUCGAAGGCAAAACCCUUGAUUGGGACUAAGUCGUAACAAGGUAACC